rnacentral:rRNA from 1 species
UGGGGAAUAUUGCACAAUGGGCGCAAGCCUGAUGCAGCCAUGCCGCGUGUGUGAAGAAGGCCUUCGGGUUGUAAAGCACUUUCAGCGAGGAGGAAGGGUAGUGUGUUAAUAGCACAUUGCAUUGACGUUACUCGCAGAAGAAGCACCGGCUAACUCCGUGCCAGCAGCCGCGGUAAUACGGAGGGUGCAAGCGUUAAUCGGAAUUACUGGGCGUAAAGCGCACGCAGGCGGUUUGUUAAGUCAGAUGUGAAAUCCCCGCGCUUAACGUGGGAACUGCAUUUGAAACUGGCAAGCUAGAGUCUUGUAGAGGGGGGUAGAAUUCCAGGUGUAGCGGUGAAAUGCGUAGAGAUCUGGAGGAAUACCGGUGGCGAAGGCGGCCCCCUGGACAAAGACUGACGCUCAGGUGCG